UGGUGAACUCCACAUCCGCAUCCUUUGCUGAGGAUACGGUUAACGGAGCGAAAGCGACGUUCAACCGCAAAACAAGCAGAGGGGGCUUAGUGGUGGGGUGACUGCGUACCUUUUGUAUAAUGGGUCAGCGACUUAUAUUCUGUAGCAAGGUUAACCGAAUAGGGGAGCCGGAGGGAAACCGAGUCUUAAUUGGGCGUUAAGUUGCAGGGUAUAGACCCGAAACCCGGUGAUCUAGCCAUGGGCAGGUUGAAGGUUGGGUAACACUAACUGGAGGACCGAACCGACUAAUGUUGAAAAAUUAGCGGAUGACCUGUGGCUGGGGGUGAAAGGCCAAUCAAACCGGGAGAUAGCUGGUUCUCCCCGAAAGCUAUUUAGGUAGCGCCUCGUGAAUUCAUCUCCGGGGGUAGAGCACUGUUUCGGCUAGGGGGCCAUCCCGGCUUACCAACCCGAUGCAAACUGCGAAUACCGGAGAAUGUUAUCACGGGAGACACACGGCGGGUGCUAACGUCCGUCGUGAAGAGGGAAACAACCCAGACCGCCAGCUAAGGUCCCAAAGUCAUGGUUAAGUGGGAAACGAUGUGGGAAGGCCCAGACAGCCAGGAUGUUGGCUUAGAAGCAGCCAUCAUUUAAAGAAAGCGUAAUAGCUCACUGGUCGAGUCGGCCUGCGCGGAAGAUGUAACGGGGCUAAACCAUGCACCGAAGCUGCGGCAGCGAACGUAUCACCCAAGACAACUUUACGGAGUUGACGAUUGACGGAGCGAAGCGACGUCAAAGCGUUCAUUAAAGUCGAGUUGGCUUAGGGAUACGUUCGUUGGGUAGGGGAGCGUUCUGUAAGCCUGUGAAGGUGUGUCGUGAGGCAUGCUGGAGGUAUCAGAAGUGCGAAUGCUGACAUAAGUAACGAUAAAGCGGGUGAAAAGCCCGCUCGCCGGAAGACCAAGGGUUCCUGUCCAACGUUAAUCGGGGCAGGGUGAGUCGACCCCUAAGGCGAGGCCGAAAGGCGUAGUCGAUGGGAAACGGGUUAAUAUUCCCGUACUUGGUGUUACUGCGAAGGGGGGACGGAGAAGGCUAUGUUGGCCGGGCGACGGUUGUCCCGGUUUAAGCGUGUAGGUGUGUGUUCCAGGUAAAUCCGGUUCACUUUAACACUGAGGCGUGACGACGAGGCACUACGGUGCUGAAGCAACAAAUGCCCUGCUUCCAGGAAAAGCCUCUAAGCAUCAGGUAACACGAAAUCGUACCCCAAACCGACACAGGUGGUCAGGUAGAGAAUACCAAGGCGCUUGAGAGAACUCGGGUGAAGGAACUAGGCAAAAUGGUGCCGUAACUUCGGGAGAAGGCACGCUGACACGUAGGUGAAGUGAUUUACUCAUGGAGCUGAAGUCAGUCGAAGAUACCAGCUGGCUGCAACUGUUUAUUAAAAACACAGCACUGUGCAAACACGAAAGUGGACGUAUACGGUGUGACGCCUGCCCGGUGCCGGAA
rnacentral:rRNA from 1 species